rnacentral:misc_RNA from 1 species
UGUUAUUCCCCCUUGUCACAG